UAUUACAAGUCAAGGUAGGCUAUACAACUUAAAUAAAAAUACAAAGAGUCUUAAGCCCAAUCCCUUCAUGUGAGACCAAAUGCUAAAUCCUUUUUCUGGAGCCCAAAGAUCCCUUUCAAUAUAAUUAAUCUGCGCCAGAAUCAAAUCUUCGUCUCUCUCUCUCUCCUAUCAUCUGCAAAUUUUCUUCCAAAAUUAAAUUAGUCAAUCAGCCUUUAGAUUGGGAGCCAUUCUUUAUACCCUAACCUCACCGCCGCUCUCACUCACACAACAGAUUUCUUUUCACAAUCUCAAAUACUCCCACGGUGAGGAAUGACAGAGAAGAAAAGGUAACCUUCAUCGACGACUCUAAAUUCCGAUACAUUAAGAAAAAGAGCAGGAACAAUCUGCUUCACAUAAUACAAACGAAACCAAAACAGAUCGAGAGAGUGAGUGAGCUUUCACCACCGUCAGACUAAGCACAAUCGAGACUUGGGUUUAAGGUAUACUUCAUCCACCCAAAUCCGAGUUCAUCGGAUUUUAUGAUAUGUGGAUGAACGCCUAUGCGUAUGGGGGAGCCACCCAUCACGAGGGGAUCCAAAAGCUCAUCCACAAUUUACCACCGCCUUGGGACAAGUGGACCGCUCAGGCAUCUCGGUUUUUCAUAUGGUAUAGCCCGCCUGACUACAUCGCGCGGGGUGAUUUGGUUGGCCUUAUAGAGGUGCUACUUCCGGCUAUGACAGCUGCUUUUGACGGACCGCCACGUGCUCCACCUCCACACAUCUAUCCGCCUAUUCAAGCCUGCAUGCGAAGGAAUCGCUGCGACAGGGAGCCACUGAAGGGGCUGGCAGCGGAAGCGUGCAUUCAAAACGGAUCACAUGAAUUUGAUCUAUUUAGCAGAUUAUUUAGACAAAAUCUAUUCGCGUAA